rnacentral:lncRNA from 1 species
UAUAUUCUUUUGAAUUUUUUGUGUACGAAAACGAAGCUUGACCCCCUCUUGCAUACCACAUACAAAAGUCAAUUCCAGGUGGAUUGUGGCUUUACGUGGAAUGGCAAAGCAAUGAAACUUCUAAGAGACAACACCGAUAUCUUUAUGACCUUGAAGUGAGGCAAAGAUUCCUUAAGCAGAACCCAAAAGUACUGAAAACGAAGGGAAAGACUGAGAAACAGGACUCCAUGAAAAUUAAGACUGUCAGUUCUUCAAGAUACACUUUAGGGAACACAAGUAAAGCCACAGAGUGGCAGAGGGUGUGUGCAAGACACACAAUCCGGAGAGGGCUCAUAUUCAGGACACACAGAGAGAGCCUAUAAACCAGCAAGAAAAAGGCAGGGCCUCCGGGAAAAUGUAUCUUGAUCAGACACGUCACAAAAAGAACAUCCAAAUGGCCAAUAAACACGAAAAUGGCUCAAACUCACUAGUAACCAGAAAAACGCAAAUUAAGACCACAGGAGAAGAACCUGUCCUACCAUUGCGUGGUGUGAGGUGAGAGUAAGGACUGAGGGUCGACAUACUAUUUAUCUAAAUAUUUACAUGUUAUCCAUCAAGCUAGCAAAACUCUGGAAAAAUAUGUUUUAUCCUUUUGCCCAAACAAAUAUUUCUUACUCAUAUAUCUGUGAAUAAAACUAUAGUUUUUAUAUGACUGAAAGUCAUUAAAUAUCAAAGAUAACUGAAUUUAAUUAAUAUUUUUACAUCUCUCUUAAUGGGCCAGUGGUCUUUGAAUGAGUAGUUAAAUAAAGGGAUCAUAAUUCAUAAAUGAUUAUAUAUUUAUCCCAUAAAAAGCUAUUUUUCUUGCCUUCAUUUCAGCAAAAUUACUAAUUAUGUUGUUAUAAUCAAAAUUUUCACACAAUUUUUAUUUAAUUGACAAUAACCUAAAGGACUAAAAUAUAUUCAAGGUAUAUGCAAUUUUAUUAAAUUUUUAUCAAAAAUUUAAAUUAAAGCAAAUGUUAAAAUUAUUUUUAGGUAUGUUUUCAAAAUUUGUUUCUUCAAAAAGUUUCAAAAUUAUCUAUUAAAAUUAA